rnacentral:rRNA from 1 species
UACGUAGGGUGCGAGCGUUAAUCGGAAUUACUGGGCGUAAAGCGUGCGCAGGCGGUUCGUUGUGUCGGCGGUGAAAGCCCCGGGCUCAACCUGGGAAUGGCCGUUGAAACUGGCGAACUGGAGUGUGGCAGAGGGGGUGGAAUUCCGCGUGUAGCAGUGAAAUGCGUAGAGAUGUGGAGGAACACCGAUGGCGAAGGCAGCCCCUGGGUCAACACUGACGCUCAUGCACGAAAGCGUGGGGAGCAAACAGG